rnacentral:sRNA from 1 species
UAGCCCAUAUAUUAGUUGAGAAACAACUUGAAGCUGGUCAUUUAGAGCUUACACUUAGCUCUUGGAACACACCCAUCUUUGUAAUUAGGAAAAAAUCUGGUAACUGGUGAUUAUUACAAGACCUAAGUUCUAUUAAUUGUGUUAUAGAGCCCAUUGGAGCAUUACAAUCUGGGCUUCUUCCUCAUACAGCUAUUGCUUUAGAUUAUUAUUUGAUAAUAAUAGAUCUGAAAGAUUGCUUCUUCUGUGUACCUUUGCACCAAGAUGACUGUAAAAGGUUUGUGUUUAG